CGUACUAGCAGUACAUACUGCAAUUCUAUUAUUACACAACAAAAGGAAGCCCCGCCAAAGCAGGGCAUCAAAAAAUUAGUUGAAACUCAUAAAUGUUCCUCUCCACGGAAAUCUUUAGUAAAAGGCGAAAGAUUUAUGCGAUCUGAAGAGAAACCAGAGUAUGCUAAUAUCAACGUGCAGUAGACAACCUACUCAUAUUGUUAUUGUAACAAGGGACGGUUAGUUGUUUUUUAAACGAGCAUUUUAACGUCUACGUCUUGAGAAAAACAGCCAAAACAGCAUACAAGUACUGUAUGUUGACAUUUAGAUUUAAAUAUGAUAUUUUAAAAGCAUACAUUUCAUAAGAGGAAAUUAGAUUCUGCCAAAGUGCAUUAUGGGUAUGCAAAUAUGAUCCAACCCUGCAGCGCGGUUUCCACCCAACAGUAUUGCUCAACCCCAAGGUAUUCGUUUUCCGUUUCUAUUUUUUUGUCCCUCUCUAUUUUUAGCCGGUUUCAAGGAUUUCCGCCCCGUACAGAGGAUCGCCUUCAAAAAGAAGACGAGCGUUCCCACUCCAGCGCCGUGUUGGUGUCACUUACACUCCCAACUUCUGCUGUCUGAAGGAAACCCGACUCCACGGAGCCGACUAGACUCAGCAGAAAGACGAACUGAAUGUAGAACCACCUUUCAAGGUUGUGACAGCAGUUGUGAAGGAUUCAGAAGACAGUUAUUCGAAUCUUAUCCCACACUGAGUGAGGGUGGUGGAUUUUAACUAAUGAAGAUUUCAGGAUCUAUGAGAAGCCAGAUCUUGGCUGUUAUUCCUUGCCCUAAUGAGGGGUACUCAGCAAAAUAUUUAAGGGACCCAGAAACCCAAAUUUGGCUCUGUCAUUAUCUAUGUAAGGCCGCUACAAAGAGGUCUUAAUAUGGAUCAGGUAAGAGCUUAUUGUUUUUUUCUUUGAUUGUUUCUUAGUGCUGGUAAAUUCUUAUUAUUCAUCCAUCUUCUUUGGUGGGUUUUCAGGGUUCCACAUGUUCAUUCAGCUGUAGUGUAACAUUGCAUUUGCAGUGAAUGACGUGUCUGCUGCAAUUCAUUUAGUAGGUUCCUGGGCUGUCCUUAUCCACUGGGCCCCUGAUGAAGUGCCUCUUUUGUGAGAAAGACUUUUCCUUCUCAGAAAUAAAGUCACAGUGACGGCUGUAGCAGCAGGUAUAGUGUUUUUGUUAAUGUAAUUGGUCAUUGUUAAAUACAGUACAUUAACUAUUUUGAAAGGUUUAUUUGCAGUAAAAUGAUGAAAUAUGCGUAUAGUGGUUUUCAGGAAAUGUUUAUGCUAAUGUAGUCUUACAAAAAUAAAUGUAUUGGUCUCGUUAAAUGUUUUCAAAAUGAAUAAAAGCUGAUUGGCUGUGUUUUGAUGUAAUAUAAUUUAAGUCGUGGUUAUAAUCAUUGUUUUGCUGCACUUCAUGGAUACAUAUGUCAAGUUCUUAUUACCUGUUGUCAUAUACCAAAGGAACUUUUUGAUGAACAUUCUCACAGUGAUCUGACAAUGUGUUGGUCCUGCAUAUGCUUGUGAUCAUUUGUCCUUAAUUGUCUUUGUUUUGCUGUGUCUUCUUAGUUAAUUACUUCAUGUGAAACUUAUGGUUUAAAAUGUAUUGUCUUCAAGGCCUUCAUUUCAGAGCACAGACAGUAGUGUAGUGGAAGGAGUAGGUGAGACUCAGAGUUCAGAGGUGCCCACUGCAACAGUAACUUGUGUGCUGCUGAAUUCUGAUGAGCUGCUACAGGAGUGUAUUCCGGAUAGACCAAGUGAAAUAAUAGACAGCAAUAGGGAUGCAGGAGUAGACAGGGCAGUCUUCGUUGACAGCAGAGAGACUGAGGACGGUUUGUGAAUUAAAUUAUUUGAAUUAAUUUUAUGUGUUGAAUGAAAUAAGCUGACACCUUUCUGUUUUUCAAUGGGUAUGUUUUAUUUCUUUUCAGAAUGUGAAAUCAUGGCAAAUUUGUUCAGGGAGGCUGUAUUGAAGCAGCAUGGAACUGCUAAACCACUCCAUCUAAGAAUGGAUUUGCGAGACCGCAUGGAGAAUAGAGAGAGGGACAUUUUGUCAUUUUAUAAAAUGUCCAAAGUAGAAUGGGCCUGUCCUUUAAAAUGCACACUUGAAGAAAUCACUGACAGAACUUUUAAUGUUUGAAGGAGAACCUGACCAUUUAAUUCCCUCCACAUCUGAGUUCCUUCUCGAGAGUGACAUGUUUCACGUUGCUGGGCGAAUGAUUGGACAUUCUUUCCUGCACAGUGGUCCAAGCUUAGCUGGAUUGAGUCCCGCAAUUAUCCAUGUGUUGCUUGGAGGUGCACCAGAAACCGCCAAUCUGGAGAGUCACGAUUGUCCUGAUAUUGAUGUUCACGAAACUGUCAAAUUAAAGGAGUCCAAAGCAGUUCUCAGUGAAGAAGACACAAGCAUAAUACUGCAAUUGGCAUUAAGCUGGGAUCUUCCAGGGAUGGCAGAAGAAAAUCGGCAUUGGCUAAUGGACAAACUCCUCCUUCACGCUGUUAUUGUAAGAACAACUCGACAGGUUAAACAGCUGAGGAAAGGACUGAAAGAGACAUUGGUCUGGCCUCUCCUGAAGGAAAGAAGUGAUAUUAUUCCACUGAUGUUUCCAAGGGCCUCUGACACACUAUACACCCCCCAGAUGAUCCUUGAAAGAAUCACCUGGCCACACUGAAUGUGGCGGAAGAUGAUGAUGAUGAUGAUGAUGAUGAUGAUGAUGAUGAUGAUGACUGUUCUCUUCAGACUAAAUGCCGUAUCACAGGCUUCUUCAGGACAUUCAUUGAAACGCAUCACCAAGAGCGCUGAUUGAUCUCCUCAGAUUCUGGGUUGGAUGGGAGGUCCUCCCGAAGGAGCUGUCUGUUGAGGUCACAGAUACCAAACUGCCCAAAGCAUCCACCUGUUUCGAAACCAUUAAAUUACCCAGACACGACUUUCACUACUCAUCAUUUGAGGAGGAUCUUCUUUCCUGUAUACAUACUGUGGACACCGGCUUUGGACUUGUCUAAUUUAGAAUUCCGCCAUGAGAAAUCUGUUUGAACUCCUUCAGGGGCCAAUUAAAAUAUACAACAUAAUUGAUUUGACAACUAGAAAUAUAACAUGACAAAGUAAAAAAAAAAACAUCCAGGUUAAUGUUCUGCUAUAUUAUUAUUCUUAUUAUUAUUAUUAUUAUUAUUAUUUAUUUCUUAGCAGAUGCCAUUAUCCAGGGCGACUUACAGUUGUAAACAAAAAUACAUUUAAGGAAUCACAGUACAAGUAAUAAUACAAUUAUGUAAAUACUAAAUGUACUAAGAAAGAAAUUCAAAUGAACGACUGGCAAUUUUAUUAGGCCAUUUUAUUAUUUUGAUUACAAUAAAUAAUGCACUGAUUCUCAAAAUGUUUCUUUUUUUGGGGGGGGGGAACAACACUUUUUUUUUCUUUUAAAAUACUUGCUUAUGUUUGUGAAAACAUCUGUUAAAUAUCAACAUAAGCACAGGUACUAUUGUCAUUUAUUUAACAAAGUCAGUGCUAUGCAGACUCAGUGACAAAAAAUACAGCUGUCCCAAACAAUAAAAACAAUCGUCAAA